UCAUUUUCGGGUAUAAAAGUUAACCUAAAACUCUCUUAGACUUCACAUCUCGGCGCCUCCUUUCCUUCGGUCUAUCCUUUCUUUGUUGCUGCUCCAAGUCACUUUCUGAUUCUACAGGUAUGGUAUGAAGAGAAACACCAUCGUGGAAGAGAUUAUCAGCACACAGUAUUCAUCAAAUUUAUUUUCUAACAUAAACUCUUAUACGAGAAACUCAUCUUGUUCUUUAUUAGAGAAAUCUGAAUGCGUGUAGAAAUGGCAGGCAUGCAAAAGGGUAAGAUUCAUCGUUCCAAGGCUUCUGCAAUUUGGUGCAGAGAUGUUUUUUGUAAUUUGAUGAGAAAAAAAUGAGUAUUUUAUAUGUUCAUACAUUCUGACAUGUUUGAGUUAGUAUUAGCAAUAACUUGUAAUAACAUUUUACAGCUGUAAAUAAUUUCAAUUUCAAGGAAUAUUAUUUCUGGGACAAGUUGGUUCCUGGUGCACUAUAAAUAUAUGAGGAACCAACGAUGGUUUGUAUAUCACCUGUUUGGUGAUUCAUGAAUGGCUUUGGUGAGAUCACUUUCUUUUCUUUUUUUCCUCCCAAAAACGCUUUCUUUUCUGUUCUUUGCUACAUCACUAUUGCAAAUUCAAUGUUUCAUAUAUAUUUCGAAUGCAUCAAAAAUCAACGGAUGAUGUUGUUAAUCAAAAACACCAUUUCAUCUUUCUCAGUAGAGACAUUACAAUUCAUCAGGUAUUCGGCUAUAUAUAAAUCUAACCUAAAUCGCUGAAAGCUCACACUUGGUGCCUCUCUUCGUCUUCCCAAUCUUUCACUUUCAGUUUCACAUUCUCAUAUUUUUGCUGCAUCCGUGGUGAUGUUUCUUUCUGAGAAUGUAAGUUUUCAUAGAAUAGGUUUUCAUAUUUCAGGUUAAAAUUGUUGAGUGUAAAAUGAUUAAAGGAUUGCAAUUGCAAAUAUUUUGUCUAA